AUACGGAGGGUGCAAGCGUUACUCGGAAUCACUGGGCGUAAAGCGCAUGCAGGCGGUCAGAUAAGUUAGAAGUGAAAUCCUAUAGCUCAACUAUAGAACUGCUUCUAAAACUGUUUGACUAGAGUCUGGGAGGGAAGAUGGAGUUAGUAGUGUAGGGGUAAAAUCCGUAGAGAUUACUAGGAAUACCAAAAGCGAAGGCGAUCUUCUGGAACAGUACUGACGCUGAGAUGCGAAAGCGUGGGGAGCAAACAGGAUUAGAAACCCCAGUAGUCC
rnacentral:rRNA from 1 species